UAUGCCUAGCCACCUGUGGUUCGGGGCCUUGUGCUGGCACCAGGGGCGCCGGGUUGGUGACUUUGGCACUCUUGGCGUUGGGUGGGCGGCAUCUUGGGGGUCACAUGAGCCAGUGGCAUCAUGCCCACGGGUGCUGGGGUCAGGGUCUCGGCUUUUCCGGACGUUCGUUGGCCAAGAGGAAGGGCGUAAAGCACAUCCCGGAAAGAGUUUUGAAAAGAAUCUUGCUCCAGAAGAAUGCUUUUCCCCCUUGGAUCUUUUU